rnacentral:lncRNA from 1 species
AAAAUUUCAACCCAAUUUAAACUUUUCAAAAACCACCCAGUUUCAUUAAGUUAUUACAAAAAGGUUUUCAAUACAUUUAUUAUCAGAGUAUUCCCAGAACCAUAUCAUAAAACAAGAACAUGAGAAGCGGUACGAUCACGCCUUUGCCUUGCCACGGUCUCCUGAAGUACCUGAAACAUUUAAACCACAACUGUAAGCUCGAAAGCUUAGUGAGAUACCCCCAAAAUACCAACCACAUAUACCAUACAUAUAACAUGCCAUAUCAUAACAGAACACAGAACAGCCAUGCACUUCGGGUCUACUGUGUGACUGGUCCGCCCUACCGGGCCUUCAGUCCACCUAGUCCACCCUCCGAGUCUAGCUAUAUACAUCGAGUCUGCAGUGUGAUUGGUCCGCCCACACCGGGCCUUCAAUCCACCUGGUCCACUCUCUGAGUCUACAGUAUGACUGGUCCGCCCGCACCGGGCCUUCAGUCGGCCUGGUCCACUCUCCGAGCCUCGGCACGUCUGGUCUGCCCUCUUGGAGCCUACAGCCUAUCUGGACGGCUAGUUGGGCCUUCGGGAUAACCGGUCUGCCCUGGGUAUGUUGGCCUAUAGCACAAAGCAGGACCCACCUCAACCCAACCCCAAUCCAACAACCAUGUGCACAUAAACAUUCAAUCAUAUAACAAUUCACAUCCAAAUCAAACCGAUCUAGCUAAUCACAUAUCAUAACAUCAUCCUAACCAGGAUACCGACAUAACCGGUCACUAGCAUAGCAUCAUCCUAUAUACCAGGAUACCGACCUUAACCAGGUCUCUAACAUAUACCACCCUAACUACCAGGAUGCAAACAUAGCAAAGCAACAACAUAACAACGAUACCUGGAUUACAAUCCGAUAAAGGGAUGGCCUUGGUGCCGUAGACCCUGUCAAUAUAGUGAGGAUAACUCACCUCGCAACUGCUGACUGAAAAGACAAGACCGAGCUGAUCCGACCACUGACACGAUCUCCACCACCAGCCAACACCAAACCACUGAACUCAAAAUAAUUCCAACAAUUACCAAAAUACCCCUGGAAGUCAACUGGUCAACACUUCGUCAAAGUCAAAGUCAACCUCCUAACUGACUCUACUCGUCGAGUCAACCCGCUGACUCGUCGAGUCCCCAUGCUCUGAAACUCCCNCCGAGUCGCCCCAAGACUCGCCGAGUCCCACAACUCUGAGUCUAACCAUACUCAACUCACUGAGUCAUCCCUUGACUCACCGAUUCACAGCUUAACCAGAAAAAGGUUAGGACCUCACGACCAGACUCGCCGAGUCCAAGGCUAUCUUCAACCAACUCGUCGAGUUGUUCUUCCAACUCGUCGAGUCGUUGCCUGUCUUCAUGCAACUCGCCGAGUACACCCAUGUAACUCGCCGAGUACCACUAGCUCUUAACCCAUACAGAGGCUUUCCAAGCCAUGCAGGGUCUCCAAUCCAUAGAUCUACUCUUAUACAAGCCAUCCAUCAUGUAAAGUGGCAAACUUUACGUGAAUCCAAGGAGAUCUAAGCAUAAUACACUCUAGGUCUAGGGUUUGGGACUAAAAGGCUUCAUCAACAACUCUUGAACAGGGACUUUAUGCUCUUUUGGAUCAUCACUACUCUAGAUCUGAGGUAGCAACCUCAGAUCCAACCUCCAAACUCAAGAUAGCACUAGAUAAAUUCCCAAAAAUCCCACAAAUGAUAGAUCUAGAUGGGUAACAGCUCAAGCAACGAAUCCUUACCUCCAAAGAAGACUCCAACAGAAGAAUAAGCCAAAACCUUGCAAAUCCCCUUGCUCCAAGCCUCUUAGCCUUCAAAGAUCUCUUCCACAAACACUCCUUCAAGGUCCAAAUGCUCUCUAAUUCACUCACAAACGCGUAUUAGGGUUUCUGGACUUCAAGGGAGAGUAAGGAGGCUGGGGAGAGGGUAUUAUGUCCUUUAUAUAAGGCUCAACCCCCAGAAUUAGGGUUUUCUCCACACAGCACCAACUCGUCGAGUCCAGCCAUCGACUCGCCGAGUUGGCCACUUAACACACGACCAGAAUCGCGACCCUACUCGCCGAGUCCACCCAUGGACUCGCCGAGUUGACCAUUCACAUUUGUACUUUGAACCCUGAACUUGCACUCCUGAACUCAGGAUGUUACACAAACAAACAAGAUCUAGUUUUUAAGUCUCAAAAAUGACCAAAAUGCAUCUUUCUUAACUUAAUCCAUUAAGUCCAAGUCUCCGCCCUUCAGAUCUGAAUCAAUAUGAUGUUUAGAUGGAUAAAGUUUCCAACUUUAUCCAUAACAAGGUCACAAACUUUCAAUAUCUAAACUUUAUGCAAUUAACAAGAUCUAUGAAACUAAUGAGAAAGUUUGAGGCUUUUUACUCACAAUGGUCCAAAAAUGAUGUGAUCUUGUUGGAUCUAUGCUUGAAUCCUUCUUCCAUACACUUUGCCACCACCUUGUUCUUCAAGAUUCCACCUUCUAAUGGAGAAAUAAGCUCAUAAAUUAUACCACGGCUCAAAAUAAGUGAGAUGAGGCUAGGGUUUCGAGUCAGAGACUUAAGAGGGUGGAGACUCAUGAUAGGAAGGACCCCCUAGGGGUUAGAGACCUUAAAUAUGGCUCAAAACCCUGAAAUUAGCGUUUUUACACUGCGGAAUUGCGUCAUGCGUAACUUUGGGUACGUCCUACGUACUCCACUAAAAACACAUCCCACCCUCAGCAUGUACGCCCUGCAUACUCCCUUGUAUACGCGUUGCGUACUACCAGACACCCUUUGCCUAACUUUAAACAGCCAUAACUUCUUGUUUCAACUCCGUUUUUGAUGAUCUUUAUAUACACAAAAAGGUAUCGACGAGCCCCACCACUCUAUCUAGUUACUUAUGACUAAAAACAUCUCGAACUAAAAUCUGUAAUUUAUGCAAGAAGCCUAAAACAUUACCUUUCCCAUUUUAUUCCUUAGCUUACAACGAACAAUCCAAGGUUUAAAUUACUUAUCCAACACCAACAACAUCCAAUAGAGUCUAAACUCCAUUCCCUUAAAACCCAAGGCCUUACAUGGUCGGAUUACGAUCCACAAACCCUGAAUUAAGAAACGUCCCAAAACAAGAUAUCACAACUUCUUGCAUGUGUAACGUACCGAGGUCCCAUAUUACGUAUGACAAUUGGUUUAACCUUGUCAUGGGUUCAUCAGGGAAGCGACAAUNNNNNNCCCCCCUCAUGACCAGUUGUGUCUAACCUGCUAUUGUCCCCUUCAUUGUCAAACUCUUCAGUGACUUGGCCAGACAACGACUAGACUAAUAACGUCAUUAAUUUAGACGGGGCCCUUUUGAAUAAGGGUGGCAAUUGAUGACACAUCAUAAUAAAAAUACACGCCACGAAAUGAAAUUUGGACGAAAAUGAAAUUUGAAUUCAUGUUCGUGUUAUGUUUGUGUUAAGUGUAAAAAACACGAUAUCGCGUUGUGUCGUAUUUGUGAUCGUGUUCAAAAUUCAACACGAUUUAGCAUUUUUUUGACAUGUUUUUUCGCUUUUGUCGUGUUAUGUAUGAUUAAAUAUUAGUUAAAUAAACUAAUUGUUAUAUUAUGUUAUCUUUGUCAUGUCGUGUCGUGUUUGUCAUUUUUUAAUUGGUACAUUUUUGUGUUAGUUAAAAAAACACGACUUCGUGUGGUGUCGUAUCAGAAGGAAAAAAAAAAUAAAAAAUAAAAAAAAACGACAUGAUGGCUCAUUUUGUCACCCCUACUUUUGAACCUAAUGACAAGCUAAUCUAGUGGCAUGGUCUUCGUCUUCUCGGUCAACACGUUCAUUAGAUAUUUGCCCAUGACAAUGGGCUAUAUAACGAAGAGGGCCUUGACCCUUGAGUAUUGGGUACUUGUAGUGACUAGUGAGUGAUUGUACAUAUCGAUACCAUUAACAUAAAAACAUAUUAAAUUGUGUUGAAAAAAUUGAUAUGAAUGGUCUUUAUAGUUGUAAAAUUUAGUUGACCAAUUAUCAUGGUGAUUUAGUCAGUUUAAAUUAUCAUUGCUAGGAGACAAAUUUUAUCUUAAUCCGGAACAUAAGCAACUAUUCAUUUUCACCGUUUUGUCUGGAUCUUGUUUUGGGUUCUUAGUGAGAUUCCACAUGCGGAACUAUUCAUGUUCUCGAGUUUUAUCCCAUUGAUGAUUCAUUGAUGCCUUGUUCUCGAGUUACAAUUAAGGAAAGGGAAGGUAAAGAAAUCGAUGAAAAAAUAAUGGAAAAAGAAUUGAUUAGGUGUGUUCUAAAGUUGGAAAGAAAUUUAUGUUAUCAUGUUGAAAAAAAAAACAUUUUUUUUUAUAUUUUUGCCCUUCAUUUGUUAAUAAAACAUUAAACAAUAUUCUAAGUGUUACAAAAUGGACUUUGGCAUAGCGGUAUCAUAGGGAUAGGAACCCUUUAGCAUAAGUUGAGGGUUUAUAUCUUGCUUCGGAUAAAAUGUGUAGAUUUAAGACUAAAAUAGUAGGUGUAUGUAAGGUAUAUAAUAAUAACUAAAGUUGUAUGCAAUGUGUUGAUUAUUAGAAAAAAGAUAAAGCACAAGUAUUUCUUUGUUUCUGUGUAGAUUUGAUCUUGAAUUUUAAUAUUAAACCUUCUUUCGUCUUUUUGAUUGUUCUUCUUAGUUGUGGGUUUGUUCUAUUUGAUCUUCAAAAAAAAUCUGGGUUACUUGCAAAAAAUGAAGACGAACAAACUUGCAAAAAGAGUGGGUUUCACAGGCUGAAGAUGACUAUAUUCGAUUGUAUUGAUGUUUAAAUGUGUUUUGAUAUUCCUUUUCUUAAAUCCAUAAUAUCAAUGUUUAUGAUUAUGUUUGGAAUUCAUUUUGGUUGAUUUGAAUUGGUUUUAAGCUUCAUCUUCUUGAAUCAAUAAAAAUUUAUUCAUCGUCUUCUCAGCUUAUUUAACCAAAAAAUUAAACACAAAGAAAUCAGAUGAAUCAAAAUAAAUAACCUACAUAAUUUAUUGGAUGUUCUUUGCAGUCUUUUGUACCUGACAGAACCUACUCCAACUUUUUGCUAAACACAAAGACCAAAUUUGCACCAUUACUGAUUUACCAUAAUAGAAAUCUUUUGAAAUGUCAUCAUACAAAUAUCAAUAUUUCAUGAUCUUAUUAAUUAGUAGGUCAUUAAUUGGUUUACUAGCAAGCAUACAAAGAAAUGCAAAAAAGGUUUUCUGUCAAAUCUUGUAUUUCAUGCAUGUGGGCCGGGUUAUGGCUUUGACAAGAGUGGGAUGCAAAAUUGGAAGAAAGGUUAUGUCUUGCCUAAGAUAUAGCUAGGUAGAUCUCAACAUUCAACAACAAGCCUAAUCAUUUAACUGCUAAAGAAGUCGAAGAGCAUGAUGUUUAAUGGAAGCUGCAAAUAAUUUGCUUCAUCUAAGAACUACAUCUUAAUUAAUGAUGAAAUAAAAAAUGUAAUAUUUUACCUAACAACUAGAUAGAUACAUGCCUUCAUUUGUGUCAUCCACUUCUCAAAGCAUUUCAACCAGGAGUUGUGUCCACAUGGAGUCUGCAAGANAUAUAUAUUCUAAUCUAAUUGUCAUAUAACAAAAUGUAUCAAUUAAUCCAGAAUAUGUAUGACAUUACUUCUUAUUCUUUUGAAUAAUAAUUAACAGAUCAUGAAUGGAGAAUCCUUAGCUACAUGAGAUCACAAUCUCAGUUAAUAAACAGGAUCGAGUUUAUAAUCUUCAUCAUCAUCUGUACCACUUUAAUUUGAAGCAACAACAUAAAUUUGGAAAAUUUAUAACUUCUCAAAACGUUGAUCUCAAACUGUUUUCACCAUGAACAUUAGUCAUGGCAACAACUAUCACGUCAUCAUUUUUGGUCAGAAGAUUACUGAUAUAUGAAGUCUCACUUUCCUAAUGAGACACAAUGAUCGCCAUUUGUACAAAUUUAGGCUUGUUCAAACUUUCAAAUCCAUCUACAAAAUUGUCCUUAAAAAAAAUCAGAAAAGAAAAAAACACAAUAACACCAGUACGUUUCUAUCGUCUAUCAAUAUAAUGCAGCAGUCAAUAAUUUCAAACUUAAAUCAUCUAUGAUGUACAAAAUAGCAAUCGAUAAAUGCAAAUUCCGAACUCAAAGAAUGAAAUAAGGGUUCUUCAUCGCUCAAAAAAAAAUACAGAGAAUUAUACCUUUAGUUGCUGGAAUAAGGAUCAGUAAGGAGUAGCAUCAUCUUCAAAUCGAUGACUCUUCGGUAGAAACGAGAAAAUCGCUAGAAAAUAUGGCAAAUCGGCUAACGAAACUUGAUAUUCUAGAUAAAUACAUUUGAAGAAGCGUCCCACAUCGGAUUUGUGAUAAAAUAAAAAGGGAUUUAUUAACUAAACUGGAAGACAAUAUGACGUGUUCGUAAGAAGGAGAGAUGGUUGGCAUCUCCCCUGACAGGGACGGGAACAGCCUUCGGGCUUACCUGUUACCACACAUCCGGUUAAGGCUACCCACUUCGGUGGAUCUAUAACCCAAUUUUUUUUUCCCCCAAUUCUACUUUACUAAAUAAUCUUUUUGCUUUUAUAUACAACUCUUCUUUUUAACUUUACCUUUAUAUAACCGGUUUUUUAUUUCUUCUUUUGAACUUUACUAGUAACUAAAUUAAUUUUGUUUGGUUCUGAUGUAACCAGUAGAAUAUAAUAUUUGCU